ACCCUCUUACUGAAUACGAGAACAUGAGGGCUGUGAAUAUGAUGAAGAACAAUCAAUUGUUUCAACGGCUAGGCCUUGGACAAUUAAAAACAAUGAUCACCGCAACAAGUGCAAACAACAAACAAGGCAGUCCUCAGGAAUCAGGUUCUUUAUAUGAUGGUGAGAAUGUUGAGGAUUCUGGUGAAGAGGAUGUUGGCAUGGAAUUCCAAGCUCGUAAGGGUGUCCCUACCCACAUCUCCAAUGAUGGUGAACAUAUGUCAACAAAAGUAACAAGAGGAAAUAAAAGAAUUAUGGCACCUGUGCAGGAACAGCCAGUUAGAGUCACUAGACAAAGAGUUGCUAAAGUAAACCAAAUGUCUACCCAUAGCCUAAAUGUUUCUACACAACCCAGUUCAAGUGCCGCCACAAACCAUGAUUUGACCCACAACCUUAUUGUUCCUACACAUCCUAGUUCCAAUACUGCCACAAACCAUGAGCCCAUCCAAGACAUGGAUACUGUUGCAUAACCUACUUUCCAGAUACAGGAGGGUGAUAACCACACUGGG